CAUCCCUUCAGGUCGCCGCUGGGGUCGCUGAGUACUCUGCGGGGAGGGUGUUCCUUCCCUGUGGAGAAUAUUCCUUCUCCGAGGAGGGUAUUCCUUCCCCGUGGCGCUGACAGACCCGCCGAGGCUGGGCUAGUCCCCGGCAUGAGGCGGUCCCGCAUCGCACCUGCCCGCCCCUCCCUCACACUGGACGUUCCCGCUCCUGACGCCUCUUUCCAGAGAGGAGGGGUGAAAAAGAACAGGAGUCGCGCUCGAAUUGGGCUCCUGACAGCCUCCUGACUGUCCCUUUACAGAGAGGACGAGUGAAAAAAUCCCCAGGAAUAGCUGUUGUACUUGUGUAUUCUCAUCCAGAGCUGCAUUUGCCCACAGAUGUGAUGGAAGGUUUUUAAUGGAGAAGUGAUACUUUCCUUUAAAUCACCUGGAACAUUAAGGAAAAAAUUAACAGCUCAUCAAGCACAGAAGUUUCUCUUCACACGCAACUCUAAUGUUAAAUAGAAGUGAAGACUAAUCAAGCUUAACCAUCUUCAAUGCUCAGCUAAUAAAGAGAAAAGGGAAGUUUUGAAUGCUCGUGCCCUUGAUGUGAAAUUCGUAGCGCUCUUCCCUGCCCAUCAGCAGCAAAAGGCUUCGCUGGACCUGCACAGGCUCGCAGGGCAGGUGCAAUUGUCACCAGGAGAUGGACGGGUCGCUCCCUGGUUUCGCUUCCAAUUGAAGCAGAGAUUAAUGCCGGUGUUACCAGCUCCUAAAACAGGCUGAGAUAACGGUCCUCUGGAAGAGCUGGAAAAUACACAAAAACUGCUCAAUUGAUUUCAGAAGAUGAACAUACGUGAAAAUUUUGUGAUCAAGCGUCUACUUACAGGUAAGAAGAAUUUAAAGGUAUUGAAGCCAGUUCUGAAGUCCAGAUGCUAAGAGUGUGAAUACUUCCAUCCCCACACAAAGAAGGACAAGAGGUGCAGGAUACAGUGAUUGCUCCCUUUGGAAACAGAGUGAUCAGUGUGUGUCAGCAGCCUCUUCCAAAGCUGCUGUUCAGGUCUUCUGGUCAAGUGCUUGCCUACCAGAUUUCUCUUCUCCAAUGGGAAUACUGAAAAGAUCAGAUGGAUUUUAAUCUGCACUUGGGAUCUCUCAAGCCAGUGGCUAAAAGAUGAAGACAAUUGGUUUGCAACUUGAAUUCAAUUAUGUUUCUUUUAUGUAGAUACAGUGGAUUCGGUGUGUCAUAUCAGUAUGACAAAAAAGGGAAGUGAAUUAUCCUGGGCCCUGAAACUAUUGUUGGGGAAGGAAAAGAUUUGUAGAUGUUAGUUAACAUACUUUGACAACUAUUUGCCAAAGCCAUUCAUUACAUCUGCCUCUGCAUUAGAAAGGGCACAAUAUUUCAUUUUCCAUUUCCU